rnacentral:rRNA from 1 species
UAAUACAUAAGCAACCUGGCCACAAAGACGGGGAUAACACCUGGAAACGGGCGCUAAUACCGGAUAAGUGAAGGUGGGGCAUCCCACCAUCAUAAAAGGGAGAGAAACGCGAGUGGAUGGGCUUAUGGUGCAUUAGUUAGUUGGCGGGAUAAAGGCCCACCAAGACGAUGAUGCAUAGCCGGACUGAGAGGUUGAACGGCCACAUUGGGACUGAGACACGGCCCAGACUCC